UCCAACCUGCUGUUGCAACUUCCUAUCAGAGCUCCUCUUGCCAGGAACAAAGCGACAGCCGUCUGCUGGUGAGCUGGGCUAAUCCUGUUAAACAAUUCACAGAUCUGACGCCGGACACGCUUUUUGAAACCUGAGGAACAGGAAAGGAGAUACAGUCAUGGAGGGAAGAUGGCCAUGUGAAGAAGGCAGAGAUUGGAGUGUUGUUGCCACAAGCUGAGGAAUGUCUGGAGCUGCAGGAGCCCGGAGGAAGCCGGGAAGCAUCCUUCCCUAGUGCCUGCAGAGGGAGCCUGGCCAGCCGACACAUUGAUUUCUGACUUCUGGCCUCCAGAGCUGCGAGCUACUCAGUUUCUGUUGUUUUCAGCCACCCAGUUGUGGUGACUUGCUGCGGUAGCCCCCAGAGACCAGGACGCCAGCCCAGGGAUGAGGGUGCUGGUCCUGGGGGUGUCAAUGCACUGGCACAUCCCGCUUGACCCUGGAGUGGCCAGAGAAAGCCCUGGGCAGAGGUGUGGGCAGAGGUGGCAGGUGUGGGCAGAGGUGGCAGGUGCUGGCAGAGGUGGCAGGUGUUGCGGGAAGUCAGGGACCCCGAACGGAGGGAUGGGCUGAAGCCGUGGCAGAAGAACAUAAAUUGUGAAGAUUUCAUGGACAUUUAUUAGUUCCCC
rnacentral:lncRNA from 10 species